UGGGCGCGGGGUGACCGACUUUCUGGGAAAUGAACUCCAAGGGGCGACGGCGCCAGGGGACCGUGGGAACGUGGUUGCUUUGCGCCGCGGGCGCGUGGGGCCGGGCGGAGAGCGACGCGCGUAGGUUACACUGGAUGCAGAUUUCUUCCCAAUUACCUUUUGCACAAACGACUUGAAUCUCUCUGAAGAUGUACAAGGAGAUACUGAAAACGGGCAACUUGGCUGUUGGCCACAAUUCAUGUAGGCUGUAUCAAUUUAUACUCCCCCUGGAAAUGUGUAGGAGACCCCCCCCUUUGGAUCAAAGUCAAGGCUGAUAAAAUGCUACUUGGUCACACUGCUACAAUCCUCCUGAAAGGUAAUUUUAAAAGCUACAUGAAAUUGUCAGA